CCAAAGACAAGUCAGUGAAAAACCGGCUUCACACUUAGUUAUCUCAUUGCUAGUUCUCGCUUUUGGUUUUUUUCAGCCUUCACUGAAUUUCUUCAUGUUCUUAUAUUUUUAAUUUCUUUUUGAAAAUUCUUAACUUGCUUCUUAUUUUUAACGUAUCACCAAUUGAGGUUUGCCCAGAAUUUUACACUGACUAUGGUGCAAAUAUUGCAUUUCGUUAAGUUUUAGCUUUUUAAGACAGGAAAUACUGCAGAAAUACUUAUGCUGUGAGGAAUCGUUCGGUAGAGAAUGCUGCAGGAGUGAGGAAAAGCAAGGGAAGGGCGACACAGUGGCAGAAUGGGAUUCAGAGAAAAUGAUGUACAAGCCUCAAGGCUUGUGGUUAGAUGCACCGAUACUGACUCUACAGAAAUGCAGAGAAUGUCAAGAACAUGUGGACCAAGACACAUGGAUUGUACAGCUGAUAACUGGAGCUGGGCUGGUACCUGUCUUUCUUUGUCUCUGGUCCUUGCCUAUCACAGCCAGGAGAUUUUUAUGGAAUUACACCGACUGUGCAUUCUAUUUAGGCUGUGCUAGCAUUUCUUCUUCUCUUGCUGUGAUAUUUCAGCUAUCCUGAAGAUUCAUAUCCACGUGGGUGAGAGAUUGCCGAUGGUCGUGAGCAGGGCAGAAGUACACUUCCCAGUCCCUGCGUACGGCCCUGAGCUAACAAGCAAAUACAGAGGGUAAGAUUCAUGGUGGUGAAGAAUAGCGACGAAAUUCAUGGGCUAACAGAAUUUGACUUAUUUAUUUAACUGAAUCUGAAAUGAAACAUAAAGCACAGUGCAAGUGAGGGUCAGAGGAAAAUUCAAUAAAAGAUUGGGAAGUGGAAAUAUUACCUGAGUGUGAAUGAAUAUCAAAUAAACACAACCUAUAUUUAUACAGUUCACUUGGGACGGCUUUCUUAAAACCGCUUCCUUUCUCUUUUUAA
rnacentral:lncRNA from 1 species